rnacentral:rRNA from 1 species
UACAGAGGGGGCAAGCGUUGUUCGGAAUUACUGGGCGUAAAGGGCGCGUAGGCGGCCUUCUAAGUCGAACGUGAAAUCCCCGGGCUUAACCUGGGAACUGCAGUCGAGACUGUCUAGCUAGAGUAUGGGAGAGGGAAGUGGAAUUUCAGGUGUAGCGGUGAAAUGCGUAGAUAUCUGAAGGAACAUCAGUGGCGAAAGCGACUUCCUGGACCAAUACUGACGCUCAUGUGCGAAAGCGUGGGGAGCAAACAGG